AUUGAACGCUGGCGGCAGGCCUAACACAUGCAAGUCGAGCGGAUGAAGGGAGCUUGCUCCUGGAUUCAGCGGCGGACGGGUGAGUAAUGCCUAGGAAUCUGCCCGGUAGUGGGGGACAACGUUUCGAAAGGAACGCUAAUACCGCAUACGUCCUACGGGAGAAAGCAGGGGACCUUCGGUCCUUGCGCUAUCAGAUGAGCCUAGGUCGGAUUAGCUAGUUGGUGAGGUAAAGGCUCACCAAGGCGACGAUCCGUAACUGGUCUGAGAGGAUGAUCAGUCACACUGGAACUGAGACACGGUCCAGACCCCUACGGGAGGCAGCAGUGGGGAAUAUUGGACAAUGGGCGAAAGCCUGAUCCAGCCAUGCCGCGUAUGUGAAGAAGGUCUUCGGAUUGUAAAGCACUUUAAGUUGGGAGGAAGGGCAGUAAGCUAAUACCUUGCUGUUUUGACGUUACCGACAGAAUAAGCACCGGCUAACUCUGUGCCAGCCGCCGCCGUAACAC
rnacentral:rRNA from 1 species